UACGUAGGGUGCGAGCGUUAAUCGGAAUUACUGGGCGUAAAGCGUGCGCAGGCGGUUCGUUAUGUCCGUUGUGAAAGCCCGGGGCUCACCCCCGGAAGUGCAUUGGAAACUGGUGGACUCGAGUCCCGGAGAGGAGAGUGGAAUUCCUGGUGUAGCGGUGAAAUGCGUAGAUAUCAGGAGGAACACCGGUGGCGAAGGCGGCUCUCUGGACGGUGACUGACGCUGAGACGCGAAAGCGUGGGGAGCAAACAGG
rnacentral:rRNA from 1 species